UACGUAGGGGGCGAGCGUUGUCCGGAAUUAUUGGGCGUAAAGAGCGUGUAGGCGGUUCGGUAAGUCUGCCGUGAAAACCUGGAGCUCAACCCCGGGCGUGCGGUGGAUACUGCCGGGCUAGAGGGUGGUAGAGGCGAGUGGAAUUCCCGGUGUAGCGGUGAAAUGCGCAGAUAUCGGGAGGAACACCAGUAGCGAAGGCGGCUCGCUGGGCCAUUCCUGACGCUGAGACGCGAAAGCUAGGGGAGCGAACAGG
rnacentral:rRNA from 1 species